rnacentral:tRNA from 1 species
GGGAGUGUAGCUCAGUGGUAGAGUGCCUGUCUAGCAGGCACAAGACCCUGGGUUUGAUUUCCAGCACCA